GAGUAAAGAUUUCGGUCGCUUUGGGAGGAGCUCGCUUACUAUCAGCUUGUUGGUAGGGUAAUGGCCUACCAAGGCUAUGACGGUUAGGGGGUGUGAGAGCAUGACCCCCAGCAUUGGCACUGAAACACUGGCCAAACACCUACGGGUGGCUGCAGUCGAGAAUCUUCCACAAUGGGGGAAACCCUGAUGGAGCGAUGCUGCGUGCGGGAUGAAGGCCUUCGGGUUGUAAACCGCUUUUGUAGGGGACGAAAUUUUUGACGGUACCCUUUCGAAUAAGAGGUUGCUAACUCUGUGCCAGCAGCAGCGGUAAUACAGAGACCUCAAGCGUUAUCCGGAUUUACUGGGCGUAAAGCGUCUGUAGGGGGUUUAUUAAGUUCCAAGUAAAAUUUCAAGGCUCAACUUUGAAUUCGCUUGGAAAACUAAUAAACUGGAGUCUAGCAGAGGUGCAUGGAACUUGUGGUGUAGGAGUGAAAUCCGUUGAUAUCACCAAGGAACACCAAAGGGCGAAGGCAUUGCACUGGGCUAGCACUGACCCUGAGAGACGAAAGCGUGGGGAGCAAAACGGAUUAGAUACCCGUGUAGUCCACGCCCUAAACGAUGAAUGCUAAAUGUUCGGGGAUUCGACCCCCUGGGUGUUACAGCUAACGCGUUAAGCAUUCCGCCUGGGAAGUACGGCCGCAAGGCUAAAACUCAAAGGAAUAGACGGGGAUCCGCACAAGCGGUGGAGCGUCUGGUUUAAUUCGACAGUAAGCGUGGUACCUCACCAGGGUUUGACAUCCCUUGACAGCCUUGGAAACAAGGUUUCCUUCGGGCAAGGUGACAGGUGCUGCAUGGUCGUCGUCAGUUCGUGCCGUGAGGUGUUCCGUUAAGUCGGGAAACGAACGAAACCCCUAUUGCAUGUUACAAUUUCUCAUGCAAGACUGCCCGGAUAUACUGGGAGGAAGGUGGGGAUGACGUCAGAUCUGCAUGGUCCUUAUACCCUGGGCGACACAGGCGCUACAAUGGCAGAGACAAAGGGUUGCAAAACCGCAAGGUGAAGCUAAUCCCAAAAACUUUGUCUAAGUUCGGAUUGAAGGCUGCAAUUCGCCUUCAUGAAGCUGGAAUCGCUAGUAAUCGUGAAUCAGCCACGUCACGGUGAAUAUGUUCCCGGAUCUUGUACUCACCGCCCGUCACACCAAGAGAGUUGGUAGCUCCCGAAGCG
rnacentral:rRNA from 1 species